rnacentral:misc_RNA from 1 species
GCAGGGGGUCGUCGGUUCGAUCCCGACAGGCUCCACCAUUUGAGUGAAACGACUUUGGGUCUGUAGCUCAGGUGGUUAGAGCGCACCCCUGAUAAGGGUGAGGUCGGUGGUUCGAGUCCUCCCAGACCCACCACUCUGAAUGUAGUGCACACUUAAGAAUUUAUAUGGCUCAGCGUUGAGGCUGAGACAUGUUCUUUUAUAACUUGUGACGUAGCGAGCGUUUGAGAUAUCUAUCUAAACGUGUCGUUGAGGCUAAGGCGGGGACUUCGAGUCCCUAAAUAAUUGAGUCGUAUGUUCGCGUUGGUGGCUUUGUACCCCACACAACACGGCAUGACCCUGAGGCAACUUGGGGUUAUAUGGUCAAGCGAAUAAGCGCACACGGUGGAUGCCUAGGCGGUCAGAGGCGAUGAAGGACGUGGUAGCCUGCGAAAAGUGUCGGGGAGUUGGCAACAAGCUUUGAUCCGGCAAUAUCCGAAUGGGGAAACCCACUGCUUCGGCAGUAUCCUGCAGUGAAUUCAUAGCUGCUGGAAGCGAACCCGGUGAACUGAAAUAUCUAAGUAACCGGAGGAAAAGAAAUCAACCGAGAUUCCCUAAGUAGUGACGAGCGAACGGGGAGCAGCCCUUAAGCUGGAAUGGCUUUAGAAAAACAAUCUGGAA